GGGCGGGGGCGGCCCCGGCAGUCGCGGUCAGGUGGCACCGCCGAGACGGAGCCGGCCGAGCACGAUAAAAGUCCCGGCCCGCCGCCGCCACGGCCCGCGAGGGAGCGCGGAGCUGCCGCCCGGGAGCCAUGCUCAGCGUUGGACACACUCCAUGAACCAUCCCAGCAGCCCAGGUGCCACGCCGUGAUUUAGAGCAGGACUUUGUCACCAAGUUGACUAAGCAGCGGCAGCUCUCGCUGUCCCGCCACUGCCAGGCCAGACAAUCCCUCCCUUGGCUGAAGAUCCCGUUGGCUCCCUUCCCAUAAUGGAAG
rnacentral:lncRNA from 1 species